AUUGAACGCUGGCGGCAGGCCUAACACAUGCAAGUCGAACGAGUGGCGGACGGGUGAGUAAUGUCUGGGAAACUGCCUGAUGGAGGGGGAUAACUACUGGAAACGGUCGCUAAUACCGCAUACCAUAAGAUGUGCCCAGGUGGGAUUAGUUGGUGGGGGGGGUAACGGCUCACCAAGGCGACGAUCCCUAGCUGGUGUGAGAGGAUGACCAGCCACAUGGGAAUGGGGACACGCGCCAGCUCCCUAAGGGAGGAACGAGUGGGGAAUAUUGGACAAGUGGCGCAAGCCGGCGGCGCCCAGGCCGGGUGGAGGAAGAAGGCCUUCGGGUUGUAAAGUACGUUCAGCGGGGAGGCGUUACCCGCAGAAGAAGCACCGGCUAACUCCGUGCCAGCAGCCGCGGUAAUUC
rnacentral:rRNA from 1 species